GAUGAACGCUGGCGGCGUGCCUAAUACAUGCAAGUCGAGCGAACAGACGAGGAGCUUGCUCCUCUGACGUUAGCGGCGGACGGGUGAGUAACACGUGGAUAACCUACCUAUAAGACUGGGAUAACUUCGGGAAACCGGAGCUAAUACCGGAUAAUAUAUUGAACCGCAUGGUUCAAUAGUGAAAGACGGUUUUGCUGUCUCUUAUAGAUGGAUCCGCGCCGCAUUAGCUAGUUGGUAAGGUAACGGCUUACCAAGGCAACGAUGCGUAGCCGACCUGAGAGGGUGAUCGGCCACACUGGAACUGAGACACGGUCCAGACUCCUACGGGAGGCAGCAGUAGGGAAUCUUACGCAAUGGGCGAAAGCCUGACGGAGCAACGCCGCGUGAGUGAUGAAGGUCUUCGGAUUGUAAAACUCUGUUAUUAGGGAAGAACAAAUGUGUAAGUAACUAUGCACGUCUUGACGGUACCUAAUCAGAAAGCCACGGCUAACUACGUG
rnacentral:rRNA from 1 species